UGUAAAGUUCAAGCCCCGAUUAUGAGGGCGAAACCGCGAAUGGCUCAUUAAAUCAGUCAUAAUCUACUUGAUUGUUUAAAGUUUAUAUGGAUAACUGUGGUAAUUCUAGAGCUAAUACAUGCACAAAUGGGGCGACUCUCGCAAGGGAGAAGCUCUGCGUUUAUUAGACUAAGACCAAUGACGCCUUCGGGCGUCUAAUUUAAGGUGACUCUGAGUAAAUAAUGGGUGAAAGCCCAUGUUGCUGACCUGACAUACCAAAAGGGCCAAAAGCUCUGUCAGGCAAAUCAAUCGAGUGUCUGCUCUAUCAACUGUGGAUGGUAGGAUAAUUGCCUACCAUGGUGGUGACGGGUAACGGGGAGUUAGGGCUCGACUCCGGAGAACAAGCCUGAGAAACGGCUAGUAGGACUAAGGUCUGCAGCAGGCGCGAAACUUACACAAUGCUAGAUUACAAUUAGCGAUGUAGUGAAGAAAAAUAACGAUGUACUUCCAUUUAAACAUGGUAGUACAAUUGGAAUGAGACGACUAUAAAUGAGUUAGUCGAGUAACAAAUGGAGGGCAAGUCUGGUGCCAGCAGCCGCGGUAAUUCCAGCUCCAUUAGCAUACAUUAAAGUUGUUGCGGUUAAAAAGCUCGUAGUUGAAUUUUAGGCGGGCUCUAUUGGGCCCCAGUCGUUAAGGCUCCCAGGAUGGUUCGCCCACUUGGGUAGCUGGCUGUGGGCUUCCAUUAGGAACCCGCUGUUUCGUCACUUAAUCGAGUGCGAAGCGGGCUGGCACGAUGGCCUCCGGGUCUUAUCGUUUCAGCAUGUUUACCUUGAGAAAAUUAGAGUGCUCACAGCAGGCAGUUGGGGUGUAAAAGCUCCUUUAUGCUUGAAUAAUGUUGCAUGGAAUAAUAGAAUACGGCCUCGGUUCUAUUCUGUUGGUCUUAUAGAACAACAAACAAGUUGGUUAAAGCGACCAAAAGUCCGCUUGCGAGCGUGGCUUGUCCGGUUAUGUUGCCUGGAAGGUAAAAGUUUCAGCGCCGUGCCUGACUUGCCAUCAAAAGCGCUCCUAGUGUGGCUAGCUUUCUAAUCAACUGAGGCAAUGGUUAAAAGAAAUAGUCGCGGCGGCAUCAGUACUGCAUCGUGAGAGGUGAAAUUCUUAGACCGAUGCAAGACUAACUGAAGCGAAAGCGUUUGCCGAGGAUAUUUUCAUUAAUCAAGAACGAAAGUUAGAGGUUCGAAGGCGAUCAGAUACCGCCCUAGUUCUAACCAUAAACGUUGCCAACUAGCAAUUGGGUUGCGAUUCCUUUAAUCGGCGCGUGUAACAGCCGCCGAUCAUUAUGAUCCACCCAGCGGCUCUCGUAGGGAAACCAAAGUGUUUGGGUUCCGGGGGAAGUAUGAUUGCAAAGUUGAAACUUAAAGGAAUUGACGGAAGGGCACCACCAGGAGUGGAGCCUGCGGCUUAAUUUGACUCAACACGGGGAAACUUACUAGAUUAGAACUCUGGAAUGAUUGACAGAUUGAUAGCUCUUUCUUGAUUCAGAGGAUGGUGGUGCAUGGCCGUUCUUGAUUCGUAUUCCGAAACGUCUGCUUAAUUGCGAUAACGAGUGAGACCUCACCCAACUAACUAGUCGUUCGGUGCGCUGUGGGACACCAAAGUCCGAUGCGGGUUCGCGUGCGUAGUGAAGGGGCAACCCGGAGCUGCGUACGUCCGUGUCGGAUGUCCUCUGCUCGCCGGCGGACUUCUUAGAGGGAUAAACGGUGUUUUAGCCGUAAGAAACGAG
rnacentral:rRNA from 1 species